AUUACCUGUCAAAUUAUAGUUAUUUACUUGCAUUCCUUAAAAAUAGUUUUAGUGGUUGAAUGUUAUGCUUGAUUAAUUUCUGACUUCUCAGAGAAGCGAGCCAGCUCAAAUUUGGGUUUAAAAAAGGUGAAUUUAGUUUGAAAUUCCUCAUUCCUGUUCAAAAUGGUAAAACGUUGAGAGCUCACUGAAAAUGAAAGAGUCAGUAGUGCAUUAAAGGAAUUGCAGAGACUGGUACUUACAAAAUGCGCCAAGGAAAAGGCAGGAAAUGAAAGUCAACUGAAGCAGAUGUCAGACGCCUCAAGAUUUUAAGUGGUAGAGACAAAACGAAGACCACUGCUGAUCUUAAGGCAGAGAUGAAUGCUUCUAGUCUACAGAAUGACCAUAAGCAGACGAAUGAUGGAACAAGGUUUAAAGGGAAGAAUAACUGCUAAGAAGCCAUUAUUGAGGCCUGCAAACAUCCAUAAACGCCUCAGAUUUGACAGGGAGCACAAACACUGGAUUGCUGAUGACUGAACAGACGAGUCCAAGUUUGAACUCUUCAGUCAGCAUCAUCGUGUUUAUGUCCACAAAAAACUGGAGAACUUUUUGAUGCCAGAUGCAUUGGACCCACAGUGAAACAUGGUGGGCAUUCCAUUAUGGUAUGGGGUUCCAUUUGUGGAAACAGCCUGGGCAAAUUAGUGAAAACUGAUGGGAUCAUGAACAAGAACGUCUACCACAACAUCUUAGUGCAUCAUGAAAUCCCUUCUGGACUGAAUCAGAUUGUUUUGUUGGUAUAUGAACCCACAACCAAUGACCCCAAGCAUGCUUCAUAACUGUGCAGAGACUAUUGUUAUUAAGAAAAAGGAAUGUUGAGUACUGGAACUGAUGGACUGACCAAGUCGAAGUCUGGAUUUGAAUCCUGUUGAACAAAUUUGGGUUUUAGUCUAUUCAGAGAUUGAUCACACAAACGUUUAAUCCAAAGAAAGUCUGUGGGAACAACUAGAAAGUAUUUGGAACUCAAUAACAAAAGAGAAGUGUUGAAAAGUACAUAAAAACAAUGCUAGCAAGGGACUUCCGGUAUGAUGCUGAAGCAAGCAACAGCAUAAGUCAGGAGCUCCUGCGUGGUCCUACUCCUCCCUUUUGAAAUAUGAACAUUAAAUGCUUAAAAUAACUUGCUAGCACAUGGUAAGGAGGAAAAAAAAGAAGACGAAAGGAAAAUCGCAACAGAACCAAAACCUCAGCAACAAUUCACUCUCAGAAAAGAAUAGAACCUUGGAAAUCCAGCAGAGCAUCCAAACCCAACUAACAGACCUGGAGGCCAGAUCCCGCAGGAACAACUUAUGUAUUCACGGGAUUCCCAAAGGGUCUGAAGGGGAUGACAUACAAGGCUUUGUUGAGAAGUUUAUUAAAUCAGAGCUGUCUCUCCCCCGAGACCAGACUUGGGAUACAACGCUAUCACCGAUCCCUUGGAUCCAGACCACCGCAGGGAUCCCGUCCAAGGUCUAUGAUAAUCUACUUCCAGGAAUAUAAAACAAAAGAAAUGGUGCUCUGUUUCGCCUGGAAGAAGAGAGAGAUCUGUUUUGAGGGGAAAAGAGUGUUUUUUGAACAGGACUACGCAGCCGAAAUACUAAAAAAGAGAAGAGCUUAUGCCAACAUCAGGAAGGCACUAGAAGAAAACAGGCUGCACUUCCAGACCCUGUACACAGCAAAAGUCAAAGUGUUUUUCGACAGCGGUCCAGUUUUCUUUAACAGCGCAGUGGAGGCAACGGAGGACCUUAAGAGAAGAGGAUUCGCACUGGACAGCUCCAGAGCCAAGGCUGCCACGGGACCUGUACCUAUGACCGGAUCAUUAUACCAGCACUGGGAAAAGGCAGGUGCAGGACUGUCUGAGACAAAUCCAGGAGAAACUAAAAGCGUUCAGACGCAACACGGAUGACACAUUAGUUGCCAUGGUGUAAUCAAACAGACUGUGUUACCUUUAAGAGAUUGGUAAGGGAAAAUGUUAAUAUCAAUAUAGACUGAAAUAAGCCAGGAAGGUGGACGGUUUAUUGAUAUUCAGAGACUAAGCGAUUUGUCCAAUCGUAAUCUUGUACUAUUUAAACUGACCACUAAGCAGGGAAACAAUAUUUGCCUCGUUAUGUGCCCUGCUCUGAAUUUAAACGUUAUUCAGAGAUGAAAUGGAAGUCACUAGAGUUUAAAGAAGUUGGUUUGUUCAGAUCAUCUUGUCAGGCUAAAUACUCAGGUGAAUAUUUACUUUUUCUCUUGUCAGUUGAGAUGAUUCAUACAAAGCAUCACUUUGAAUGUAAAUGGGUUACACAACCCUAUAAAGAUAAGUAAGACUACUGCUAAAAUGAAAAGAGAGAAACGGGAUAUAAUUCUUUGGCAAGAAACACAUCUCUCAAAUAUUGAACAUGAUAAGUUGAGAAAAAUGGGAUUUAAAAACGCAUAUUAUUCAUUCUUUGAAAGAGGGAAUACAAGAGGAGUAACAAUAUUAAUCAGUGUCAAUUUUAUGUUUUCUUUCCAAAUUACUGAUAAGGAAGGGUGUUAUGUACUGGUCAAAGGUUUUAUUGACCACAAAGAAGUCACCUUACUGAAUGUCUAUAGGCCACCGGGAAAUGAUAAACAGUUGAUUAGAAAGAUUUUCGACCUAGUCUCGGUGGAAACUUCAGGUGUUUUAAUAUGUGGAGGAGAGUGGAAUAUUCAACUGUGCCAAAACAUGGACUCUUCAAAUUUAAAAAAAAGAGAUAGGAUCUUUUUCAAUUCAAUUCAAUUUUAUUUAUAUAGCGCCAUAUCACAACAACAGUCAUCUCAAGGCACUUUUCAUAUAUAGCAGGUCUAGACCAUACUCUUUAAAAUAGGUAUUUACAGAGAGAGACCCAACAAAUCCCACCAAGAGCAAGCACUAGGCGACAGUGGCAAGGAAAAACUUCCUUUUAAGAGGCAGAAACCUCGAGCAGAACCGGACUCAGGGUGGGCGGCCAUCUGCCUCGACCGGUUGGGUUAAGAAGGAGAGAGGGGGGGAGAGGGGGGAGAGGGGGUAGAGAAUAGCGAAAGAAGAACAUAGCAUAACACAGGUUCCAUAUCAGAUGUAAGAUGAGGCCAGUAAUACAGCAGUAGUAGUGAUAGUAGUGAUAAUUAAAGUAUUAACUGCUAACACAGCAAUACAACUAAUAGCAGUAUAAGUAAUUUCUAAUUCUAGCAGCAGGUGUUGAGUGGAGUUGUAGGAGCGGCAGGAGACUUGCAGUAUAUGUCAAAAAGCUGCUCAAAGAAUUAGGCAUGAUUGACAUAUGGAGAGACCUACACCCCCAUGAUAAAUACUUUACUUUAUAGUUUAGUAUACUCAAGAAUCGAUUAUUUUUUCAUGUCCAACUCGGAUAGACAUAAGAUUAUAAAAUGUGACAUAGGAAUAAGGGCCAUUUCUGACCACACAGGGGUAUACUUAACACUACAUUUAGACAACAAACCAAAGGAAACAUUGUGGAGACUUAACACAAAUCUUCUGAAUGACCUUCAAUGUCAAGAAUAUAUAAAGAAAGAAAUGAAAGACUAUAUUACUUAUAAUAAUAAUGGAACCUUGUCUCCAAGCACACUUUGGGAUGCUGCUAAGGCAGUUUUAAGAGGCAAACUUAUAAAAUGGUCUGCCCAGAAGAAAAAGGAAAAAAAAAUAAACAAAUCAAGGAACUAGUUGAAAAGUUAAAAUCUUUAGAGAGUAAACAUAUGGAAUGUAAUGACUCUUGAGGUCUUACAGCAGAUUUUAAAUACAAAACAAACUUUAAAUAUUUAUGAAAGUCAGAUAGCAGCAAAGGCUAAGUGGAUCAAACAAAAUUUCUAUGAGAAUGGCCCCAAAUCCAAAAGACUUCUGGCAUGGAGAAUAUGCAAACAACAGGCAGAGAGAUGUAUACAUAAAGUGAAUGAUCCUCAGACUAAUAAGACAUAUCACAAAUUGGAAGAUAUACAAAAAUCUUUUGAAACAUACUAUUCCAAUUUAUAGGCUCAACCUGAAGCUGCUGAAAUAGGAGCUGUAUCAGAAUUCCUGACAUCCUUGGACUUACCAUCUAUAGGAAUACAGCAUAACAGAAUAAUAACUUGGGAGAUAACAGAUGAAUAAAUAAAUAAGGCCAUAUCAAGACUGAAGUCAAAUAAAAUGCCAGGUGCCGAUGGCUACCCAGCAGAGUGGUACAAAAUGUUUAGGGAAAUAAUACUACCAAUGCUUAAAAACAGUUUUAAUUGUGUUCUUAAUGGGGGAGGACCCCCUGUGUCAUGGAGACAAGCAGUAAUUAAACACAAGAUGAAAUGUAGUUCUUAUAGACGCAUAUCUGUUUUAAACAUUGAUUAUACACUAUAUGAAUUGAUAUUAGCUAAAUGAUUGGAAGAUAUAAUCCCAGACCUCAUAAACACCAACCAAACAGGCUUUGUUAAGCACAGACAGACUCAGGACAAUGUGAUCAUAUAAAAAACAGUUAUACUGGGGGCAGGAGUCAGCUGGACCACUGACGAGGCCGGUAUCAGCCAGGCCACCAAUGGGAGAACUCUGGGAGCUGGUGUCGGCUGGACCACUGACUGGAGAUAGGGCAUUGGAGUUGAUGUCGCCUGACCAUAGUAACAUUGCCAAUACCUGUAAAAUAUGUUGCUCUGGAUCAGUAUCUGAUACAAAUUCCAGUGUCAUUGCAGCAUGCUGUAAUACAGACAAUGUAAAAUUGUUUUGAAGCAAAUCUACUCUCUAGCAGCAGCAGUUAGAACAGGAAUGCUGAAGUCAUACAGGUCUCAACCUGGAGUCAAUGGUAGCUGCAUUUAUGCAUUAAGUGUGUGUGUGUGUGUGUGUGUGUGUGUGUGUGUGUGUGUGUGUGUGUGUGUGUGUGUGUGUGUUUGUGUGCCGCACACCUGCACAUAGUCCUAAAUUUGUCCAAAUCAAAAACAGCUCCAACCACAAAUAGUUCCAGUAUGAGUCAACAGUGUGUUGGUUUCUAUGAACAACGACCCUCUGUGAUUUCAUAUGAUCAUAAAACUAUAUAUUCCUUUAUAGUCCACUGGCUCAGAGCCAAAUGCAAGUGCUGAAAUGCAUCAAGUAUAUUGUCAUCAAUAUUGUAUUGUUAGAGAGGAAAACAAAAAAAUAAUCAGUAAUAGGGAAAGAGACAGAUGAGAAUGAGAGAGAGAGAUGGAGUCCUGGCCUCACUGUGUUGUGUGUUCUCUUUUCAUUUCUAAUUAUGUCCUGCUGUUUAAGACCAGCUCAAACUAACUAGGACCCCAAACAACAAAUAAGAUGAGAUGAGAUAAAACUUAAUUGAUACCUGUGGCUACACUGAGUCACAGCAACAGCAAAGAAUGGCAACAAAAAGAAAACACUUCAUACAAAUGAAACCGCAUUCGGAUGGGAUUAAGAUUACAGGUGGAAGUGUAAACUGAAAUAUUCACUGCGCUUCUCACUAAUUUAACUCAUUGGUCCAAAUGGAAUCAGGAAAUUACAGGAUAAGGUCUGCAAUAGACAAGGACAUUCCACAGGACAAAACCAUGAGGGAUGAAGAGUGAAGCCAAGAGCCACCUCAGGGGGGCGUAAGAGAGUAAAAGUAGAGCCACAGUGGGAAAGACACGUAGGCAAAGACACUCAAUAGAGUCACAUAAGGUAAAAAAAAAUCAUACUCCUCAGAGUCAUAACCAAACACACAGACCUACUUGUAGCUGACAUUUCAGUCUGAAAGAUUUCUGCAGUUUAUUUUCUACAGCUGGUGUUUAAGGAGAUGAAAUUUGUGUUCAUUCAUUGGUGUAGGAACAAAUGGGUUGCUGCAGCCAGCAGUCAUCAACUGGACUUCAGAGUAAGGCAGUGUUUGUGAAGGUUUUUAUAGACACAAAGACCUGAAAACAAAAGUUAGCAGGCACAGUGGGAUUGAUGUAUGAUUUGAGAUUCUCUGCCAGAGGAAUCCUAGUUGUCAGUGUUGGUUUCCAUGGUGAUGCUUCUCCACAAGUUUGGGGGGCGGAGCUUCUGAAGGAGCCCAGGAUCUAAGCUGAUCUGUUUUUUAAGCUGUGCCAAAUUAAAUGGAGGGUUUUAUGUUCUGUUGGACUGUUUCUUUUGUUUAUUUGUUAAAAUGCAAAGUAAGUAAGUGUUUGGGUUAUUAUCCUUUAAUAGAGCCAUCUAGUCAUGAGUCCAAAAAUGCUACUUGAUUUCCUUGCAUUACAGUUACGGUGUAGGUGGCUGAAGCAGUUCAUUUAUUGUAUCAUUAAUCAUACCCCCCACCCCCCAAAUGAAGGAUUUAUUGUGUAUUUCAAACAUCUUAUUAAUGAGCAUCACCAGUUCUCCAAACAACUGUGCCCAUCACACCUGUACCGAGACUACAUUUCCAACCCUGCGGUGCCUCAAAGCUACACUCAUCCUGUGAACAAGGGAAUGAGGCAACUCUGGCUUGUUCAGAUGUGAGUGAGGAAGGCUGGAGCUUGAAGUCAGCGAGCACUAAGACUGAGCCUAGACCGAGAACUGCUAGACUUGCUCUCGGACAGUUUCCCAGAGGUGUUCCUGUCCUAGCAUAACACUUUCAGGCCUGUUGAUUGGUGAUCCUGCUGUGCAGUCUUUAUCAAUAACAGAUGCUAUUUGAGAUGUUACUGUGAAAGGCAGGAUGACCAAGAAUAUCUCUUUGGGAAUUUCAUGUUAAUCAAUCAAGUGGCUGUUGAGAAAUUUCAAUCUGGAUCAGAGUGUUGGCUCAGAGUGUUGGCUCAACCAAUCAUGACAGUUUUGCCAAUACCAUUCAGAGCUGACCUUGGGGGAUGAGCCCCAGGAAAAUUAUUGCAAUGAUUCCACUUCCUGUUUGAGGGGAUUGCCUCUCCACCAUUGGAUAUUAUGCUUUCAUAGAAAAAUGGCUCUCUCAAUGUACAUAUGGACAUGUGUGUAUUGUUAUAAGAUAGUCUUGAAAGA